UGCCUACGGGGCGCAGCAGUGGGGAAUAUUGCACAAUGGGGGAAACCCUGAUGCAGCGACGCCGCGUGAGCGAAGAAGUAUUUCGGUAUGUAAAGCUCUAUCAGCAGGGAAGAAAAUGACGGUACCUGACUAAGAAGCUCCGGCUAAAUACGUGCCAGCAGCCGCGGCAAUACGUAUGGAGCAAGCGUUAUCCGGAUUUACUGGGUGUAAAGGGAGCGCAGGCGGUCCGGCAAGUCUGAUGUGAAAGGCGGGGGCUCAACC
rnacentral:rRNA from 1 species